rnacentral:rRNA from 1 species
AACGAACGCUGGCGGCGCGCCUAAUACAUGCAAGUCGAGCGAGAAGGUGUAGCAAUACACUUGUAAAGCGGCGAACGGGUGAGGAAUACAUGGGUAACCUACCCUCGAGUGGGGAAUAACUAGCCGAAAGGUUAGCUAAUACCGCAUACGAUUCCAGGACUUCGGUCCUGGAAGGAAAGCACUACCGUGGGUAGUGCGCUCCUGGAUGGGCUCAUGUCCUAUCAGCUUGUUGGNGAGGUAAAGGCUCACCAAGGCUUCGACGGGUAGCUGGUCUGAGAGGACGAUCAGCCACACUGGCACUGCGACACGGGCCAGACUCCUACGGGAGGCAGCAGUAAGGAAUAUUGCGCAAUGGGCGAAAGCCUGACGCAGCGACGCCGCGUGGGGGA